UAUCUCUGUAGAGUCUGCAUAUCAAUAAGCGGAGGAAAAGAAACUAACAAGGAUUCCCUCAGUAACGGCGAGUGAAGCGGGAAGAGCUCAAAUUUGAAAUCUUCAAGGUUCUACCUUGACGAAUUGUAGUUUAAAGAAGUGUUUUCUGUUAGAUGAGUAGCAAAAGUUCCUUGGAAUGGGACAUCAUAGAGGGUGAGAAUCCCGUAUUUGGUUAUUCAUUCUAGCUUUGUGAUACACUUUCAAAGAGUCGGAUUGUUUGGGAAUGCAGUCCAAAAUGGGUGGUAAAUUUCAUCUAAAGCUAAAUAUUGGCGAGAGACCGAUAGCGAACAAGUACCGUGAGGGAAAGAUGAAAAGAACUUUGAAAAGAGAGUUAAACAGUACGUGAAAUUGUCAAAAGGGAAGCGUUUGACACCAGUGUUGUUUUUCCGAAAAUCAAUUACGAAUGGCUUGAUUCUGUGUUGUAUUGACCUUAUCAGCUUUCUUCACUUUUUUCGAGUCUUUCUUAGUGCACUUUUCGGUUAACAAGUCAACAUCAAUUUCUUUUGUUGUAAAAGAGUAUUCGGAAGGUGGCUUUCUUUUCGGAGAAAGUGUUUAUAGCCCUAUACUUCCACAAUCGGAGAGAUUGAGGUCUGCAGCGUAGAUCCUUCGGGGUUAGAUACACUUGUGCUAAGUUGUAGCUUUUCAUAGACAACUUGUUGACUAUGUUUAGUCAUGCGGCUUACUCGCUUGUGCUAUUUUACCUACGCUUAGGAUGUUGAAGAUGUAGCACAUCAU
rnacentral:rRNA from 1 species